CGCGGGAUUGGACGGGGCGCAGCAGGCGCGAAACCUCCUCAAUGCACUAACGUGCGAAGGGGUUACCUCGAGUGCCACCUGAAGAAGGUGGCUUUUCCUUGGUCUAAAAAGCCUCGGGAAUAAGAGGGGGGCAAGACUGGUGUCAGCCGCCGCGGUAACACCAGCCCCUCGAGUGGUGGGGAUGAUUAUUUGGCCUAAAGCGUCCGUAGCCGGCCGGGUAAGUUUCCCGUUAAAUCCAACGUCUCAAGCGUUGGACUGCGGGAAAUACUGCCUGGCUAGAGAGUGGGAGAGGUCAGCGGUAUUCUGGGGGUAGGGGCGAAAUCCUUUGAUCCCCGGAGGACCACCAGUGGCGAAGGCUGCUGACUAGAACACGUCUGACGGUCAGGGACGAAAGCUGGGGUAGCGAACCGGAUUAGAUACCCGGGUAGUCCCAGCCGUAAACGAUGCAUGCUAGGUGUUGGGUUGGCCACGAGCCACCCCAGUGCCGCAGGGAAGCCGUUAAGCGUGCCGCCUGGGAAGUACGAUCGCAAGAUUGAAACUUAAAGGAAUUGGCGGGGGAGCACCACCAGGCGUGAAGCCUGCGGUUUAAUUGGAGUCAACGCCGGGAACCUUACCGGAAGCGACAGCAGAGUGAAGGCCAGAUUGAAGAUCUUGCCAGACGAGCUGAGAGGAGGUGCAUGGCCGUCGCCAGUUCGUGCCGUGAGGUGUUCUCUUAAGUGAGAUAACGAACGAGACCCGCGCCACAUGUUGCCAUCAGAAUCUAAAGGAUUGCUGGGCACUCUUGUGGGACCGCAGCCGAUAAGGCUGAGGAAGGGGCGGGCAACGGCAGGUCAGUAUGCCCCGAAUCUUCCGGGCCACACGCGGGCUGCAAUGGUAUGGACAGAGGGCUGCCACCCCGAGAGGGGGAGCCAAUCCCUAAACCAUACCUCAGUUGGGAUUGAGGGCUGCAACCCGCCCUCAUGAACAUGGAAUGCCUAGUAACUGCCAGUCAUCAUCUGGCGGUGAAUACGUCCCUGCUCCUUGCACGAAUUCGCCGAAUCACUAGU
rnacentral:rRNA from 1 species